rnacentral:rRNA from 1 species
UACGUAGGGCGCAAGCGUUGUCCGGGAUUAUUGGGCGUAAAGAGCUCGUAGGCGGUUUGUCGCGUCUGCUGUGAAAACCUAAGGCUCAACCUUGGGCUUGCAGUGGGUACGGGCAGACUAGAGUGCGGUAGGGGUGACUGGAAUUCCUGGUGUAGCGGUGGAAUGCGCAGAUAUCAGGAGGAACACCGAUGGCGAAGGCGGGUCUCUGGGCCGAUACUGACGCUGAGGAGCGAAAGCGUGGGGAGCGAACAGG